CCACCGUUUGCAAGAAUUUUAUCAACCCAAGCUGGGGUUAGUUUGUUUAUUUUUCAUUCGUUUUUGGAGUAAUGUUUUGACUCCUUGGCUCUGAAAUUAAGCCACAAAAAAAAAAAGCUACCAUUCCAUAAAGAAACCUACUCCACAAUUCCACGGCUCGCAAUACUCCCACAAACACUGGGGCUCUCCUCCUACUGUGCUCUUGCUGCAGUGCAGACUGCUGCCACCUGCCCUCAAAGAAGAAAUAUUACAGUUCACGUUUGGAAGACAUCUCACCACACUAUGGAUUUAAUCCUGGUUAAGUAUGUUGCCUGUGGCACCCUUAAACACGUGAGUGGCUUAUCAAUUUUCCCCUACUCACCUUCCAUCAUUCCAUUAAUUAUUUCUUCUAAUUUAUAUCCCUCUCUCUUUUUUUGCAGUUGCAAUUUACUGACGUCAUGUCUCACAUGCAUGCCUAACAUUGGACCUGGAUGUGGAUGAGGAGGAAGCAAAUAGAAAAACACAUGAGGUUUUUUCAGCACUUCAUAGUUUUUUGACAUCGAAAUAAUUUCUUCUAUGCCAUUGUCAGUGUAUCACCUCCACACUUCCCAGAGCUACAAAUCUAAACUCAUGCUUUAUCUUGGCCCUGGUAUUUUGAUUCCAUUCUGACCACCAGGGAUCUGAAUGCUGCUCAGCUCCAUGCAAGAUAACAUAUUUAUCAGCAUAUGACACGCACAUUUAACUCCUGAAAAGCUUUCUGUUAAAGACGGAAGAAAGAGUGAAGAUAAUGUUGAAGAUAAAGUUCUUAAAGGGUCCCAGUAGGUUGCAGAUCAUGCACUUACCCUGAGGAGGAGCAAUGGUCCUGCCAGAAGCCGAUGCUGGAGGGUCUUGAAUGCAGCUUUCUGUUAAAGACGGAAGAAAGAGUGAAGAGUCAAGCUCUAUGAUUUUGACCCCUGCUGCUGAAUCCAGGGACAUCCUCUGCCAGAAGGACAUCUCUUAGCUCCGCCUCCCACUCUCGCAACUU